ACCUAAAAGGAAGAAAGAACUCUGAAAGGCCACUAAUAGCCAUUUUAAGGGGCAACAACUGUCCCUUCAGGCAUAGGUGGAAGUCUUUAAAGAUACUUGACCAGAACCUAACAAACGUGCUACUGAGGUGGCUUCCCAGUAACCCAUGGAGGACAGGGAAGACCUAAAGCUCAGAGAGGAAGUAGCGGGCCAAGACCGUGUGGCUCUGCUGAUUUCUGGGACCAGAACACAACAGAGCAGACGCUUUCCCUGCUCCACUCCUCUAAAUACUACUGAAUGCCCAGGAAACUCUUCAAGAAACAACAAUAACUCAAACAUCUGGGAGAAAAGAAGGUGGGCUGACAAGAAGCAUCAAGACUUGAGAAACAGCGAGCAGUCUCGCUUGUGCCCCGCUGAGGACAUCACAUCGCACGCUUGUGGCGACACAUCUGAAAGGAGGAGCUCGCUCCUAGGAGCCGGCGUCCCAGGGGCACUGCCACAGGCCAGACACAGGUGUGGCUCCCUCCGGAGGACCCAAGAUCCUGGGACACGCGGCAGGAUGGAACCCUUCCCGACUCAUCUCAGCUACUGUCCCAUGUAGGGCUGAGGCUCAUCCGC